UGAACAAAAUUUUCAUGAUGCUCAAUUAAAGGGACUUGUAAAUGGUAUUGUAUGUAAAAUAGUGUUUGAUUGCGAUUUCUGAUUUGUAUUUCAGUUUGAAUUGUAAUUCCUAAUCAGCUCAUUUUAAUCUUUGCCUUUUAGAGUACCUGGCAUCAAUCACUUAAACGCAAAUUUCAAUUGGAGCGUGCACCUCUUAUUCAUGAAGAUGAAGUGAAAAAGUGUAAGGAGAAAUUUGGACAAAAACGAACAAAACAGUUGGGUGAAUGUGACAGAGUCGGCAGGCGAGCUCCAUCUGAGUCUCCAUGUGUAAGCGGGGAAGAUGCUUCAUCCAUAGAGCAACAUGUCCGAGUCCUGCAUGUGCAAUAUGAGAGGGUGAAUCCAGAUGUUUCCGUAGUUGAAGAGCGCAUGCGGCGUACAUUUGCUUGGCGGAGGAAGGAGAUUGUGGAUGGGAUGACAGUGGGGGAUGUCCUCAAAAAGUAUCCCUUCUUGAGAUCUCCCAGAGAGCUAUGCAUUGAAGUAGACAGGAUGCGUCCAACAGAUGUCAAUUUGUGUCAACGUUGGCGACAGAAUUUCACCAAAAUUGUUCCAAAAGUGAUACAGUUGGCCCAAGGAAAAACUCCACUGGCCAAAGUGCAUUCUGCUGCCAGGGAGGAAGUUCUCGCAGAGGACAUACAAGAUGUUGACUUCAGAGCAGCACUCAUUUUGCUACCCUAUCUCUUCAAAGAGAAAAUUGAAUGAGUCAUUAUACUAUGCCAGUCUGGGGCCUUCAGUUCAACCCCCUACCCAACUGUACAGCUGACUAACAUGGACUGGAAGACGGUCUUCACAAGGAGAAUCCCCGUGUCAGUCAUGGUGGAUGGAACAGAUCUGUGCCAGGGAUCAGGAGUUGAAGAAGGAAUGAUUGCAGUCUUUUGUGCGUACUAUGUUUUUAAUUUGGAAUACCCUCCUUACCUGAAGAACACACUGAUGUUUCUUCAGCACGUGGUACUGAACAUUUCUGAGGUGGGUGAGAAGGCCCUUCCCAUCACUGUGACUCGGAUGAUGAACCUGCUAUACUAAACGCCUAAAAUGCCACAGCCAUAUAAAUGCGCAAAGUGUAGCAGAGCUACAGUACAUUCACCUUAAAGAAACUGAUUCAGCAUGUUGGUCUAAUUCAUGCUCAUGAAUCCAACUUUAGUGUGACUUGUGGAAUAAAUAAUUGUAAGUCAACUUUUAAAGUAUACA
rnacentral:lncRNA from 1 species